rnacentral:rRNA from 1 species
GACAGAGGGUGCAAACGUUGUUCGGAAUUACUGGGCGUAAAGCGCGUGUAGGCGGCAAGGCAUGUCGGAUGUGAAAGCCCACGGCUCAACCGUGGAAGUGCACCCGAAACUGCCUAGCUAGAGUCUCGGAGAGGAAGGUGGAAUGCUUGGUGUAGAGGUGAAAUUCGUAGAUAUCAAGCGGAACACCGGUGGCGAAGGCGGCCUUCUGGACGAUGACUGACGCUGAGACGCGAAAGCGUGGGGAGCAAACAGG